CAGCGACUCGGGGAGG
rnacentral:sRNA from 1 species